AUUGAACGCUGGCGGCAUGCCUUACACAUGCAAGUCGAACGGUAACGGGCCUUCGGGUGCCGACGAGUGGCGAACGGGUGAGUAAUGUAUCGGAACGUACCUUUCAGUGGGGGAUAACGUAGCGAAAGUUACGCUAAUACCGCAUAUUCUGUGAGCAGGAAAGCAGGGGAUCGCAAGACCUUGCGCUGAUUGAGCGGCCGAUAUCAGAUUAGCUAGUUGGUGAGGUAAAGGCUCACCAAGGCGACGAUCUGUAGCGGGUCUGAGAGGAUGAUCCGCCACACUGGAACUGAGACACGGUCAAGACUCCUACGGAAGGCAGCAGUGGGGAAUUUUGGACAAUGGGGGCAACCCUGAUCCAGCCAUGCCGCGUGAGUGAAGAAGGCCUUCGGGUUGUAAAGCUCUUUCGGCCGGGAAGAAAUCGUAUCAGCUAAUACCUGGUGCGGAUGACGGUACCGGCAUAAGAAGCACCGGCUAACUACGUGCCAGCAGCCGCCGCGGUAA
rnacentral:rRNA from 1 species